rnacentral:rRNA from 1 species
UACGAAGGGGGCUAGCGUUGCUCGGAAUCACUGGGCGUAAAGCGCACGUAGGCGGACUCUUAAGUCGGUGGUGAAAUCCUGGAGCUCAACUCCAGAACUGCCUUCGAUACUGGGAGUCUCGAGUCCGAGAGAGGUGAGUGGAACUGCGAGUGUAGAGGUGAAAUUCGUAGAUAUUCGCAAGAACACCAGUGGCGAAGGCGGCUCACUGGCUCGGUACUGACGCUGAGGUGCGAAAGCGUGGGGAGCAAACAGG